rnacentral:rRNA from 1 species
UACGUAGGGUGCAAGCGUUAAUCGGAAUUACUGGGCGUAAAGCGUGCGCAGGCGGUUCUGAAAGUCAGCUGUGAAAGCCCCGGGCUUAACCUGGGAAUUGCGGUUGAAACUACAGGGCUAGAAUCUGGCAGAGGGGGGUGGAAUUCCACGUGUAGCAGUGAAAUGCGUAGAUAUGCGGAGGAACACCGAUGGCGAAGGCAAUCCCCUGGGCCUGCACUGACGCUCAUGCACGAAAGCGUGGGGAGCAAACAGG